CAACUCAAAGAAUUGUCCUAUAGCUUGGACAGUUCUCUCUUUGCAGCAUCUGACAUUCCACCCUGCCAAGCAAGUGGCGUUUUUAUCUCCUCUCUUUGUUCUUUCAGACUUAACAAGAGAAGUAAAUAGAGGUGGGAGAAGCAGCAUUACAGAGAUCAAAUUUAUUAUAAACUCCAGUCUCAAAUGAAAUUUUAAGGUUUCUGUUAACAGUCUCAGAAAUGCUGAAAGACUUAAAAGCCAGGAGUCACAGACAUGUCCCUUUAAACUUGCAAAGAGAGUUCUUAAAAGUGGCCUCAAAACCAAGGAGGCAGUAUUAAGGGCCCCAAGAUCUCUUAGCUCCCAGUUGCUCUGUAUUUCAAAAAGUCCUAUUUUUAUAUCCACACUUCCAUUUUCUACCUAUU